AAAAUGGAUAGUGUUGUGAACGUCGUACGGAAAAAUUCGUUCGGAAGUGCAAGGACUCUAAUCUACUGAGGACUAAAGCAAAUUAGGAAUCCAGCGGAUGACGGUUGCCAUCUUUGUCGUAUGCUGACAGUUGAGCAUACAAUGUUUUAUUUUGGUGCUGCGGGUGCUGCAGCUUUCACGGAGAGUACUCUGUGUUCUAAAAUAUUAACAAUUACUAAUCAUUUUUGUUUUUUUGUUUCAGGUGAUCAUAUAUGUAUUUAUUUUUAAUUUCGUUUAUUUGUAAUUUUUUUUAGGUGAGCUAUUGGAAAAGACAGCUGCAAGAUUUUACGUAGAAUAGCCCGGAUCUACGUUUUUAUUUAUAUAUAUAUAUAUACAUAUAUAGGACUAACUAUUAUUAACCUAGAUUAAGUAGCUAUAGUUUGUAACGGUAGGAACUAAAAUCUCGCUUGUAAACUAACUCGUUAGGAGGCUUAACCAGGAGUAGGUAGUAAAUUUGCAGCGAUAUUUAA